AAGUCGUAACAAGGUAUCCGUAGGUGAACCUGCGGAUGGAUCAUUAGAAAGUGCGAGGUGCUUCGGCACCGACCCACCCACUCUGUGCACUGUAACGUACCCUGCGGUCGAGGGCUUAGGCUCGAGGCCGCGCUGGGCUGUUCCUUACGGGACGGCCGAACAAACACAUCAACCAACGUCUGAAGCUAAAGAAACAAUGUUAAACAACUUUUGACAACGGAUCUCUUGGCUCUC
rnacentral:misc_RNA from 1 species